rnacentral:rRNA from 1 species
GGGCCCGCACAAGCGGAGGAACAUGUGGUUUAAUUCGAUGAUACGCGAGGAACCUUACCUGGGCUCGAACGCAGCGUGCUGGUGCCAGAAAUGGUACCUUCCGCAAGGACGCGUUGCGAGGUGCUGCAUGGUUGUCGUCAGCUCGUGCCGUGAGGUGUCGGAUUAAGUUCCAUAACGAGCGCAACCCUUAUCGUUAGUUGCCAGCGGGUUAAGCCGGGGACUCUAACGAAACUGCCAGCGUAAGCUGUGAGGAAGGUGGGGAUGACGUCAAAUCAGCACGGCCCUUACGUCCAGGGCUACACACGUGUUACAAUGGCCGGUACAGAGGGCAGCUACCCCGUGAGGGGAUGCGAAUCUCCAAAGCCGGUCACAGUUCGGAUCGAAGUCUGCAACUCGACUUCGUGAAGUUGGAUUCGCUAGUAAUCGCGCAUCAGCAAUGGCGCGGUGAAUACGUUCCCGGGCCUU